GACGAACGCUGGCGGCGUGCUUAACACAUGCAAGUCGAACGGAAAGGCCCUGCUCUUGUGGGGUGCUCGAGUGGCGAAAGGGUGAGUAACACGCGAGUAACAUGCGCUUGACUUUGGGAUACAUUCAGGAAACUGGGGCGAAUAUCGGACAGGAGCUCCUGAAGCACGGUGGGGGUUGGAAAGAUUCGGAGGUUGGGGAUGGACUCGCGUCCUAUCAGCUUGUUGGUGGGGUAGUGGCUUACCAAGGCAUUGAGGGGUAGCCGGCCUGGGAGGGUGACCGGCCACAUUGGGUCUGAGAUACGGCCGAGGCGACUACGGGAGGCAGGAGUGGAGAAUGUUCCACAAUGGGCGGAAGCCUGAUGCAGGAACUCCGCGCGCGGGACGACGGCCGUCGGGUUGUAAGCCGGUGUCGCCUGAGACGAAGCGUAGGUGACGUUAAUGGGUAGAGAAGCACCGCCUAACUAGGU
rnacentral:rRNA from 1 species